rnacentral:rRNA from 1 species
GACGUAGGGGGCCAGCGUUGUUCGGAAUUACUGGGUGUAAAGGGUUCGUAGGCGGUGCGGCAAGUUGGGAGUGAAAUCUCUGGGCUUAACCCAGAGGCUGCUUCCAAAACUGCUGUGCUUGAGUGUGGGAGAGGCGCGUGGAAUUGCAGGUGUAGCGGUAAAAUGCGUUAAUAUCGGGUAGAACACCAAAGGCGAAAGCAGCUUGCUGGAACAUUACUGACACUGAGAGACGAAAGCGUGGGUAGCGAAAGGG